AAGGAGGUGUCUUGGUAGCACAGGACCUGCAGAAGCCUGUGAUUGGCAGCCAACUGGAGGCGGACUGGGUGUGAGGCACUGGUGCAGGUAAUUGUGGAGGUCGCAGGAAGGGCUUGACGGUAAGCGGGGAGCAAAAGCUGUAAGUAAAUUGAGGGAGAGGGACGGGUCCAGCCGGAGGAGCCUGGUAUUUCCGUUUCUGUCACUUCCUGGCCUUGUUUAGGAAGAAAGGUAAAAUGUGAGGAGGCGCGCUCCUAAACCCAUCCUCCGGCUACCCAGGAGCUUCUGUUAAACUGAGGGUUGGAAGAGGCGGGGUUUGCCGGAAAUAACCCCGAAGCCCCCGAUAUGCUUAAAGGGAGACAGCCAGAAAAAUCAGUUCUGGAAAAGAAAAGAAAAAGCCUUUGCUCUGAGUUGCAUUUGUUCGGAUUUCACUAAGUGGAACAGAUCCUUCUGGCUCCUAAGCAUCUAGUACAAUGUAUGGUAUUAGCAUACAAUUAUGUUUUAAGUAACUUAUCAAAAGGCAAUACAAUGCCUUCUAUAAGACCAUAAUUUAAAAGAAAGAGUGCAAGAACUUGUUUGUAAGAGAAAGCCUUUCAUAUUAUGGGGUAUCCUAUUUUAUCGAUAUUCCUUUACUUAGUAGUUAUGGAUAAUAUGUAUCCACUUUAGUAGAAAUAAUUUCAAACUUUUAAAACAUCAACAGCUUCUGUUUUAGAGAGGGCUAAAGGGCACCAAGUUAGAAUGUGGCAUAGAGAUGGCACUUUCCACAGUACUAUCCCACUGCUACUAUCACUAUUAAGGUCUCUGCAAUGCCAAAGAAAUGUCUCUCAAGCUUUGAAAGUAACUGUUCAAAAUAAGGGGGAAGGAGGGAAGAGCAUUUGAUUAAAUUAACGUUAAAGACUAAGGAGAUCAUAUGGGGUGGGCAAAUAGGUUUACAUUAGUGAAUACUGAAACAUAUUCUUGUAUUAUGUAUUGUCAACUAUUGUACUAUUUGUAUUAUUUGUCUUUUUAUUAUUGUCGUUAUUAUUUUGUAUCCUUAUGAUGUAUCUUUUAGGUAAUGAUAGCUGAUAAUUUACCUACUUUUCCCCAGCUCUGUAUUCACUUACUUGCCUUUGACGCAGAUAAACUCCUAGAAACUCGGAAAUGAGUACAGUGCUGAAACUAUUUUUUUUAAUGUUGCUGUAUGAUUCUCUAUACAACUCACACAUUUAAGUGCUGCUGUAUCUAUGGAUUUGCCUAUUCUGGAUAUUUCAUAUAAAUGGAAUCAUAUAAUGUGUUGGGGACCACCCUGCCUGGUUUCAGAAGCUGUAAUCCCCCAGGGCAAAGGCUGAGUAAAGAGACCUGGGGACCAUAAGCCACUAAGGAGACAAAGCUUAUCUUCCUGGGAGGAGCCACUGUCCCCUGUUACUUCAUCCUGCUAAGCCCUAGGUGGAUGACUGGUUAGUCAAUAACAGCAUCUGGAGGCAAAGCAGCAUUCUUGCACACAUGAAUACAGAAGCCACACAUUAGGGUGGAGAAGGUGGAAGCUAAAAGAAGCCUGAAUUCUUAAUUUUCUUCAGUAGUUACAACAACCCUUAAUUGCCUACAUAGGGACUUUAUGUCACAUGAUUAAAUAAAUCUCUAUUUGGUAAAACCA